rnacentral:rRNA from 1 species
UACGUAGGGUGCAAGCGUUAUCCGGAAUUAUUGGGCGUAAAGAGCCCGUAGGCGGUUUGUCGCGUCUGCUGUGAAAACUGGAGGCUCAACCUCCAGCCUGCAGUGGGUACGGGCAAACUAGAGUGCGGUAGGGGAGAUUGGAAUUCCUGGUGUAGCGGUGGAAUGCGCAGAUAUCAGGAGGAACACCGAUGGCGAAGGCAGAUCUCUGGGCCGUAACUGACGCUGAGGAGCGAAAGCAUGGGGAGCGAACAGG